rnacentral:rRNA from 1 species
GAUGAACGCUGGCGGCGUGCCUAAUACAUGCAAGUCGAGCGAACAGACGAGGAGCUUGCUCCUCUGACGUUAGCGGCGGACGGGUGAGUAACACGUGGAUAACCUACCUAUAAGACUGGGAUAACUUCGGGAAACCGGAGCUAAUACCGGAUAAUAUUUUGAACCGCAUGGUUCAAUAGUGAAAGACGGUUUUGCUGUCACUUAUAGAUGGAUCCGCGCCGCAUUAGCUAGUUGGUAAGGUAACGGCUUUCCAAGGCAACGAUGCAUAGCCGACCUGAGAGGGUGAUCGGCCACACUGGAACUGAGACACGGUCCAGACUCCUACGGGAGGCAGCAGUAGGGAAUCUUCCGCAAUGGGCGAAAGCCUGACGGAGCAACGCCGCGUGAGUGAUGAAGGUCUUCGGAUCGUAAAACUCUGUUAUUAGGGAAGAACAAAUGUGUAAGUAACUAUGCACGUCUUGACGGUACCUAAUCAGAAAGCCACGGCUAACUACGUG